UGGCUGGAUACCAAGAAGCGGCCUCCCAAGAAUUUUCACGUAUCUGUACAGCACUGCAAAGAAUCCUCCUGAGCUAGAUAGACCUAAUACUGAAGGGGUAACUAUGGAGUAUCACAUCUGUUGGAGAGAAUGGCCUUCAAGAGCACAGUGAAUCGGACCCACUUACGGUUAGUUCGUGAGGUAGAAGCCAUUGGAGGAAAUGUCUCUGCAUCAGCUUCCCGUGAACAAAUGAGCUAUACAUAUGAUGCAUUGAAGAGCUAUACACCAGAAAUGGUUGAAGUUCUCAUUGACAAUGUGAGGAAUCCAGCAUUCCUUGAUUGGGAGGUCAAAGAGCAGUAUCUGACCGAGAACAAUUAUUUCGUGAUGAUUAGGGUAAUUGGGCUGCCCGGUGUAGGCAAGUCAACCAUCAUGAACGAGCUUUAUUAAUAUGAUGCAAGCUACCUGGUUUGGUGGUAAUGCUUAUGUGAUUGGUGAUUCUGCAAAGCAUAAGCAGAAGUGGCACGUCUACUAUGCCACCACUGAGCACCCC